UACGGAGGAUGCAAGCGUUAUCCGGAAUGAUUGGGCGUAAAGGGUCCUGAGGUGGCUGGCUUAGUCUACUGUGAAAGAUCAGGGCUUAACCCUGAACAGGCGGUGGAAACUAGCAAGCUAGAGUACGGUAGGGGCGGAGGGAAUUCUCGGUGGAGCGGUGAAAUGCGUAGAUAUCAUUUGGAACGCCAAUGGUGAAAACAGGUAGCUGGGGCUGUGCUGACGCUGAGACACGAAAGCCAGGGGAGCGAACGGG
rnacentral:rRNA from 1 species